ACCCUGUCAAACCCUAGCUAUUAUCUACUGGGUUUCUUUCUUGGUGUUGAUAGUUUGUUGGAGAUUAGGCGUUUGAUUUCCUUUACAAAAUAGGUUCAGUUUGGAAUUGCGGCCAAAGCAAUGUUUUCAUGUGGUUUCAUCAAUUUUAGUUUCUAUAUUUACAUGUGUUUGAUUGUCCCUUGCCCUCGUUUAGAUAGAGAUUUCUAUCAAGAGUAUAGAAAGUUGGUGCCUGACAACUAGCUGCUUGCAUUCAUCCACCCCCUACUCUUAUCUUGCAAAAGCCCACUUCUUGUGUUUUGCUUGUAUAUAUAUUAGGCUAGACCAAAGUGCGGUUAAGUAACCUCUAACAAAUUGUCAUGACAUGAGCUGAUUAGCGGUCUAUUGUAAGCCCGCUCGGACUUACGAAAGUGGAGGUCACAUUUCCAUUCCACAAAUGCAUGUAGAUUUUGGUUCAGACUUCCAUCAGUGAAUGAAAAAAGGAAAAGCAAGAGAGAAUAGCAAGUACUUAUAUCAGUAUAAAAAUAUACCAAUGGGUAGUGAGCCUGCAACGUUGUGUACGUAUACAUGGGGAAAAUAUUUGGUUUGUGGCUUGUGUGAAAGGACAAUUUAGGUUUGUAUUCUAUAUCUGAGGACCAUUCAUAGCUUUCAGAUUUUGUUAUAAUUGUCAUCCCAUGGUUCUGCUCGGAACAACUCUUUCUCUAGGAUUGUUUUGGGACUGGUCAUUGCGGGCAUGUUGAGGGUAUUUAGUUAAGCAAUUUUGUUAUUAUUUUAGAUUGAGUACAUCAACUCGUUGGUUGCUUACAUUUUCUUGGUCCCUAGAGCUACUCACCUCGCUGGUUGUUUACAUUUCCUUGUUCCUGGGAUCCACUUUCCUAAAAUGAAUCUGUUUUAAUCUUGUAACUGGAACUGGUGGAUAUUUUGAUAGGGAAAUUACGAUGAUUGAUUUAUGGAUUUGAGUUUCAGUUUUUUUUUGCUUGUACUGGCCUCUUGAGAUUGGAAGACUGGCGUUGUUGUGGGCUUGUGGCAUAGGCUUCCUUUGUGGGUCUUUUUCUCAUCUGAUGUAAACAAUAUUUUUUAGUCUGGUAACGGUGCAAAGGCAAAUGGGGCAUCAUCACAUAUCUAGGUCAUAUUUUCGACAGACAGAUAUAAAACGGAGUGGGAAUGCCUCGAUUGAUAUCAUGUCCAAGUUCUUCAAGCUGAUGGUGUUCUACAAUUAAUGAAUGAUUUGAACCGAAGUGUUCAAGAUGCCGCUAUCUCUUGUAUUGAGGUUAGUUAAUUCCAUAUUUGAUAUUGUCUGUGUAUGCCUACUUCAGCCGACAUUGUGUUUUUUCUAGACCCAUGGUGACUGGUAUGAUCUCUAUUUCUAUUGGACUUGUUCAAUUUCCCAAUAGUUACAUCCCAUAUUUACAAGCUGGAGAGAUUGAGACAUUUUUUAUAACAUCUUAUCUAUUAAAACUCCAUGUCGUUUGCUCCACCAGGGGCUUCCAGUGCGCUUUUUUCCCUCGAUCUCGUGUGAUCUGAGUGUGAGAAGGCUUAUAGUGUGCUUGAGGUUCUUCGACCUCUCUAUAAUUCCCCUAAGAUACUGGAACAAAAGGUAACUGUUGCGAUAUAUGUCAAUCUUCAAUUUCGUUGUCGCUUAGCAGUUGUUGGGCUUUGGUACCCAGUCUGUAAUUUUGCUGAUGCACCAGCGACACAUAUUUAUCAUUGUUUAUUUUUUAAUCAAUAACAAAGCACAGGUACAAUAUAAUCUUAUAUAGCUUUUAAGGUAUGUAAACAUCCACUUUAGUGAUGCUAACAAAUGUAUAAAAUAAUUAUUAUUAUUUUUUCAUAGCAAUAUAUUUUAUCAUAUUGCAUCUUAGUUCAUGCUACCUGGAUGUAAAUGUGGUGCGGUUUAGUUUAGUAAGAUCUUCACUAAUCACUACAUAGUGCAGCACUGGGCUGUUAAUAUUUUUUGUACCAUGUGUCAUAAGCAUGAGAUGUUGCCUGUAGAGUACCAAUGCUUUAUUGCAGUCUUCCUCCUCGUCUGCCCCAAUGUCGGCAAGUCAGCCCUCUUCAACAGGUGAGAGACACCUUAGGAAGGCAUCGGUCAUUGCCUCUCGCCUGUAGUUUCUAUGCCGCUAUGAGGGGUGGUGGCAUUUCCUCAAAUACGUUGCAUGUAUCACUGUAACUGUUCUUCCCCUUCCGUUACCAUUAACCCAUGCAUCUAAUUACUUGUAUAUUUUACGUUACCGUUUUCCUGUUCUCAACAUUUCAGAUUCUAGAUGAUGGUACGACAAAUUAUUUUAGGAGCGCUUUGACAUAAUUUAAAGCUUGGAAGGGAGCUUUCUAUGAUUUAUUUUUCUGACUGUUUCGUCACAUGUUCUUUCCCUAGAUGAAAGUAUUGAUUUAUUUUUGGUUCUGCAGGAUCAUUGCGUCUCUGCGAGCUAAUCAGUUCUGUGAGCGUCUCCCUAGCCCCAAUGGCGAGUCAACUGUUGAUUGCCAUCAGAUCUCAAAGAUGCCAAAUCUUGCAUUCACCAUAGCAAACAAGACUUUCACCUUAACACCAGAGCAGUACAUAGUGAAGUUGGAGCAAGCAGGACAAACUAUCUGCAUCAGUGGGUUUAUGGCAUUUGACGUACCGCCUCCUUGUGGUCCUCUCUGCUAUGCUAAACAUAUCUGUACUACUCUUAAGUGUGCAAUGAGGGCGUCCACCGAGGGCAUCACCGUGCCCCCGCUCGCCCCUCCACGCCCGCGCCUGUCUGUGUCCGCCCCCUUCGUCUCCCCGCAAUGGCCGCGUCCCUACCUCAUGUCUACGACGACAACUAGGGUAAACAUGAAGAAGUCAUCGGGCUCGGGCUCGGUGUCGUUGGCGCGGAGCAUCCCGGAGCUGUACGAGGAGAGGGGAGCCAGCAGCCUCCGGGAGUUCGGGUUCCAGGAGCUCCGGGCCGCCACCAGCGACUUCAGCCGCCUGCUCAAGGUCGGCGAGGUGGCUUUGGGAGCGUUUACAAGGGCGUCGUCUGCCUUCCUGGCAGGCCCGCCGGCGGCACGGUAGUUGCCAUAAAAAACUCAAUCCCAAUGGUCAUCAGAAGUUCAAGGUUAUCUCAUUCUGGCAUAUCUCAUUUGCCUGCUGAUGAAGUGAAGCCUUUGGUUAAAUAUGAUAAUGAUGAAGAUGCACACUCACCUAGUGGCCGUGGAAGGGGUCGUGGUGGUCGAGGCCGUGGGCGGGGCAGGGGCAGAGGUGGACGUGGAAAUGGGUUCAAUGAGUAUGUUGAUGCUGGUUGGGAAGACGAUCACGCCCCUGCAUAUAUGGGCAAUGGAUAUGCCCGUGGAAGAGGUCGCAGUUUCAGGGGCCGUGGUAGGAGAGGCGACGACGAUAACUAGCCUGAAUACCAACAGGUCGGAGGUUAUUUCAAGAAGAUCCAAUUGAACCAAAAACCGGAAUAAAAUUUCCAACAUUUUUGGAAGACGACUCCAGUCCAUCUGCAGCGGUCCUUGUUGGGAUAGGUUUCAAAGGCAUGAGAGUGAUGAGGGUCAAAAAUCUGAACCUCUACGCUUUUGGUUUAUAUAUGCAACCAACUUCUAUCCGUGAGAAGUUGGGUCCUAAGUAUGCUUCAUUUCCAACUAACAAGCUGAUGGAGAACCCUGAUUUCUAUAGUGAUCUUCUCAGGAAAUGGGUUCAAUGAGUAUGCUGAUGCUGGUUGGGAAGACGAUCACUCCCCUGCAUAUAUGGGCAAUGGAUAUGCCCGUGGAAGAGGUCGCGGUUUCAGGGGCCGUGGUAGGAGAGGCGGCGACAAUAACCAGCCUGAAUACCAACAGGUCGGAGGUUAUUACGAGGAGGCACCUGUUCAUGCUCCAGCUUUAGGUGGGUAACCUCACAGGACACAAAUGAAGUGUACAAAAUAUUUUCAAACAAAAUUAAGCAAGACCUGAAGAUAAUCUGAAGAGCUUUGUACAGGCGAUUUUUGAUCAUUGUCGAUCCUGAUUCCUGAUGCUUUUAUUUUUUUCAACAACAGAUUUUCACCAUUUGUAAUGGAACUGAAACCAGCCUCUCAUCGAAGUGGAAACCUUUUUUUAGUCGUAAACAUUUACAUGGUUUAUCCAGUGGUAUGCUGAUGAAAGAUGCUAAGUUUCGCUUAAUAUAAUGUAUAUGAAGGUCCUGUGUA